UGUAUUACCGCGGCUGCUGGCACGUAGUUAGCCGUGGCUUUCUGGUUAAAUACCGUCNAUACCUGAACAGUUACUCUUAGAUAUGUUCUUCUUUAACAACAGAGUUUUACGAGCCGAAACCCUUCUUCACUCACGCGGCGUUGCUCCAUCAGACUUUCGUCCAUUGUGGAAGAUUCCCCCUACUCCUACGGGAGGCAGCAGUAGGGAAUCUUCCACAAUGGACGAAAGUCUGAUGGAGCAACGCCGCGUGAGUGAAGAAGGGUUUCGGCUCGUAAAACUCUGUUGUUAAAGAAGAACAUAUCUGAGAGUAACUGUUCAGGUAUUGACGGUAUUUAACCAGAAAGCCACGGCUA
rnacentral:rRNA from 1 species